UACAGAGGAUGCGAGCGUUGUUCGGAAUUAUUGGGCGUAAAGGGCGCGUAGGCGGUGCGGUAAGUCACCUGUGAAAUCUCCUGGCUCAACUGGGAGCUUGCAGGCGAAACUGCCGUGCUGGAGUGUGGGAGAGGUGCGUGGAAUUCCCGGUGUAGCGGUGAAAUGCGUAGAUAUCGGAAGGAACACCAGUGGCGAAAGCGGCUUCCUGGUCCAGCACCGACAUUCAGGCACGAAAGCGUGGGGAGCAAACAGG
rnacentral:rRNA from 1 species